UCAAUCACCUUUUUAUGUCAACCCCCGAUGGCACAGAUUUACUUCCAUAAAUUUUGCUCUGUGCCAGUAGGGGGCUGUAUGUGCUUUGUGGCUCAGCUGACCUCGGAUAUGCCCAGGUAGGCCAUUUAACCUGCAGGAAUCCCAGACACAGGUGUUGCUAAUUUGGGAAGCAAACAGUUUUCGACUGUGCCAGUGUGCGUGUCUGCCUUUGUGGUGAGCAAUGCGGUUUGUUAUUUUGGGUAAAUGUAUUAUGAGCAAAAAGUUGCCGGUGUAUGAUAUUUGCAUUUAAAAUAAACAUGCAAAAUAUUUGUAACAAUCAAAGAACUCUCCGUCUUUGCUAUGUUCGAGCGCACCGGGCGCACGUCUAAACCUAUCCGCCGUAUUAGCAACCAGUACUAGACUUCGUUCAGGACUUCAUCAGUACAGUGGCCAAACAUGUUUUUGGUUUGUGUUGAGCAAUGGUGACUUUCAUAAAGUUAUUGCUUAGCACUUGUAGAAAUCCAACUGCAUUUUGUACAGGGAACACCAGCCUCACUCGGAUUUUGAUGGAGAACCAGAUCACCUAACUCCAUCAACAGCUCAAUUCAUUCUGGAUAGUGACAUGUUUCUGGUGGCAGGAACGAUGUUGAGCCACUCAUUCCUACACAGUGGACCCUGUUUAUCUGGCCUUAGUCCUGCAAUAGUUCAUGUGUUGUGUGGGGGAAUCACCAGAAACUACAACAAUCCAAAUUGCAGAUUGCCCCGAUAUUGACAUCCGCACUACUAUCCAGUCGCUGGAAGGCAGUUCUGAGUUGACAAAAGAGGAAGAGAACGCAGACUUUGACCUUGCCUUGUCCUGGGACCUACCUGGUGUUACCAAAACCAACCGGAAGUGGCUGCAUGAGCGGCUUCUAUUCCACGCUGUGAUUUAACGAACAAGCCGUCAAGUAAAGCAGCUACGGAAAGGACUAAAGGAGACCAUGGUUUGGCCCCUUCUGAAAGAGAGAAUGACAGACGUCAUUCCCACAUUUUUCCCAAGGAAUUCAGAGGCUGCUCUCAGUUCUCAUGUAAUUAUGAUGUCCACAGUCAAUGAAGUGAAGAUAGGUCAAAUGUAUCCUCUCCUCUGUUGUCUCUAUUGCUCCAAUUCCGCUAUAAGGAACACGGCGCCUUAUUGGAACUUAAUCUUAUUCACCAUAACCCCCAGAGUUCGACAAGUCCAUACAUACCCUUCUCAUCUCCGUGUGUUGUAACUCUGUCCAAUGCCCCCAACCGGCUCCAUCUAGCCUACUGCUCCCAAUAAGUGACAAAAUAACGCCAACAUGUUCCUAUUUACAUGUUGUAAUUUGUAUAGUCACAGCGUAUGUAUGGACAUACUCAGGGGGUUACAGGGAAUAAGAAAAAGUCCCAAUAAGGUGCCAUUUUCCUUUUAACACAAGUACAUCAUAUUAACUACAGGUGCAAUGUCUUUUAGCUACAUAUAAGUGCACUUAAAUAUUGAAAAUGGUAACGAUAGUCUUAUCUUUUCUUUUUCUGUUCUAACAUCAUCCCAGCCUGUGAAUACAUUUUUAAUGGCAUUCCAUCAUAACCUAUUUUUAAUUUCCAGUGUGUACUUGUAAUGUGACAGAGGACCAAUUAGGUUAACACUUAUCACUUCUCAUUUAAUAGCUUCCCGUACAUAGUUCGAAAGACUCCUCCAAUUCUGGACAGGAUGGGAACUCUUGCCCAGUGAACUAAUGCUGGAAGUCUUAAACGUGUUUUGAAACACUUUGUCUUCCUGCACACCACAAAGACUACGAAGCUUUUGCUAGUGACAUUUCAGGCCUGCCUCAACUCCACUGACCCAGGAUUUGGUCUUAUAUAGGAUGGACUCAAUGUCACGAGUUACUUAAACAAAACCAGAUCUUUUUCAAUUAUGUUCAUGGGAGGGGUAGGGAUUUUAUCACAGACCAUUACGGUUCCAUUUCUUGGUUUUUAAACUGUAAUUCUGUUUUAUAUUCUGCUUUCAAAACUGUAAUCUUUGAUUUGCUUGAUUUGCUAAACUCUACCAUGGCUAUGGAACUUGGAGUUUAAGAGUUUUCUCUAGACCAAACUGUAAAUGAGAAGACAAUCUGAGACAUGCAAUGAAACAGGCAAAGAUAUUUCAUGUUAAUGAACAUUGCCUCCUUUUUGUGUACAGUAUACCAGAAUGUAAUGUACUGGAGAUAAAAACACUUGGUGCACAGAGAUCGCUUUUGGCUCAAAACUCAAACCCAAGUUUUCCUGAUGACACUGUGCUUGACCUAAGGUU